rnacentral:rRNA from 1 species
GACGAACGCUGGCGGCGUGCUUAACACAUGCAAGUCGAGCGAUGAAAGCCUUAUGAACUAUUCGUAGUGAUUGGGGCCGGAUUAGCGGCGGACGGGUGAGUAACGCGUGAGCAACCUGCCUUAAACAACGGGAUAGCCUCGGGAAACCGGGAUUAAUACCGUACGAGACCCCGCCUUCACAUGAAGAAGAGGUCAAAGAUUUACCGGUUUAAGAUGGGCUCGCGUCUGAUUAGCUAGUUGGUGAGAUAAAAGCCCACCAAGGCAACGAUCAGUAACCGGCUUGAGAGAGUGAACGGUCACAUUGGAACUGAGACACGGUCCAAACUCCUACGGGAGGCAGCAGUGGGGAAUAUUGCACAAUGGGGGAAACCCUGAUGCAGCGACGCCGCGUGAGCGAUGAAGGAAUUCGUUUCGUAAAGCUCUGUCCAAGGGGAAGAUAAUGACAGUACCCUUGGAGGAAGCCCCGGCUAAAUACGUGCCAGCAGCCGCCGUAA